CGUGAGUGAUGAAGGCCUUCGGGUUAGUAAAACUUCUUUUAGAUGUGACGAUGAUGAACGGUAACAUCAAAGAAAAAGCUCCGGCUAACUUCGUGC
rnacentral:rRNA from 1 species